rnacentral:rRNA from 1 species
CAAUAGCGUAUAUUAAAGUUGUUGCGGUUAAAAAGCUCGUAGUUGGAUUUCUGUUGGGAACGACCGGUCCGCCCAUUGGGUGUGUAUCUGGCUUGUUCUCGGCAUCUUCUUGGUGAACGUUGCUGCACUUGACUGUGUGGAGCGCUACCCAGGACUUUUACUUUGAGGAAAUUAGAGUGUUUCAAGCAGGCAUAUGCCUUGAAUACAUUAGCAUGGAAUAAUAAGAUAGGACCUCGGUUCUAUUUUGUUGGUUUCUAGAGCUGAGGUAAUGAUUAAUAGGGAUAGUUGGGGGCAUUCGUAUUUAACUGUCAGAGGUGAAAUUCUUAGAUUUGUUAAAGACGGACUACUGCGAAAGCAUUUGCCAAGGAUGUUUUCAUUGA